AUUGAACGCUGGCGGCAAGCUUUACACAUGCAAGUCGAACGGUAACAGGUUAAGCUGACGAGUGGCGAACGGGUGAGUAAUGCAUCGGAACGUGCCCGGUCGUGGGGGAUAACGCAGCGAAAGCUGCGCUAAUACCGCAUACGAUCUGAGGAUGAAAGCGGGGGACCGUAAGGCCUCGCGCGAUCGGAGCGGCCGAUGUCAGAUUAGGUAGUUGGUGGGGUAAAGGCUCACCAAGCCAACGAUCUGUAGCUGGUCUGAGAGGACGACCAGUCACACUGGGACUGAGACACGGCCCAGACUCCUACGGGAGGCAGCAGUGGGGAAUUUUGGACAAUGGGCGAAAGCCUGAUCCAGCAAUGCCGCGUGCAGGAAGAAGGCCUUCGGGUUGUAAACUGCUUCUGUACGGAGCGAAAAGGUCUCCUCUAAUACAGGGGGCUCAUGACGGUACCGUAAGAAUAAGCACCGGCUAACUACGUGCCAGCCGCCGCCGUAA
rnacentral:rRNA from 1 species